ACCAGACACUGACGGAUCUCGCCCCCACCCGGUCUUCCUAAGAUCUUCUCAACGACGAGAGGGAUCCUUCUGUUGAAAGCCCUCUGUGGCUUCUCAGCUCAUCCAGAGAGGUUCCACCCCAGGGGCCAAAGAAUUGUCAACGUGGUAAUAAGAACUGUUGGGAGAUAGUAAGCCCAAACUGAAAGAGCCAACUGCCCAGACUGUUCCCCUCCACCCCACACCCCUGCCUCCUCGCUAUUCUCAAGCAGCGAGGAAUCUUAGAAUUGACCUCAUUCCAAAAUGAGAAAUAAUUAGAAGACACUGGCAGGAAUAAAAGGGUGAUUUUAACCUCUCCCCUUGGUUCAUACCAGCACACCUCUCCUUUUUCUGCGCACUGUGAGAUCUCCGUGCCUGGAGCUCAUCUGAGUCAUGUUUCCUACAGAACAAGCGACUACAGAGUGGGCAGCACACAUUCCCAGUGGUGCGCAUGGCAGGUGAUAGGGGGCCGGCUGCUCAGCCCGGCACCUCUCCCUGCUUCCUGCAGCACCCGAUGCCUCCGACUACCAAGCUUUUGGUGAUCCUCUCCAACAGCGGUUCCUGUUUCCAGUGUUGGGUUGAAGUUUCUCAGCUCUGCGGUGCCAGACGCAGUGGUAUUGUAAGCAAUGCAAUCUGUGCGACAGAGGGGUUCUGAAAGAACCUUGAACUUCUCCAACACGAAGCACUCGGGUGGUGGCUCUGAGCUAAUCUCUGUGUGCCAAAGCGGCUGCCCCUGCAAGUCUGAGUCUUCAGCUCUGACAGCUCUCACUUGUGGACCCUGCAGGCAGCGAGCGGCAGGCAAGUGAACAGUUUGAGAAGGUCAGCUGGUGGGUAGGUGGGAAACCUAAUUAAUUUGUACCAUACAGGUAGUACCCAAAUCGUUCCUUUCAUAUGAAGGUGGAAUGGCAGCGUCAAAGGUAAGGGGGCCCUUUGGCCAUCCCCCAGCAAUUUUUCUUCUCUCCCCAAAAGUUCUUAACAUUGCACAGCUUACAUAGUAUAUCUUUAGUCUUUCUUCCGUGCUUUCGUGUCUAGAAAACUAGGAAGACCCGGCCGGGUUUAUUUUAAGGGUUUGGAGGGGAGAGUACAGGAAUGAUGAGGCCAUUCCGCACCGUGCUUUUUUCGCUCACGGUAAUGCCUGUAGAUUUACC
rnacentral:lncRNA from 1 species